AUACGGAGGAUCCGAGCGUUAUCCGGAUUUAUUGGGUUUAAAGGGUGCGCAGGCGGCCAUUUAAGUCAGCGGUUAAAUCGUGGGGCUCAACCCCAUUCUGCCGUUGAUACUGGGUGGCUUGAUUGCGGUCGAGGUUGGCGGAAUUCGUUGUGUAGCGGUGAAAUGCAUAGAUAUGACGAAGAACACCGAUUGCGUAGGCAGCUGACCAGACCGCAAAUGACGCUCAUGCACGAAAGGGCGGGGAUCGAACAGGAUUAGAUACCCUGGUAGUCCGCACAGUAAACGAUGAAUACUUGUUUUCGGCGAUAUAAUGUCGGAGGCAAAGCGAAAGCGAUAAGUAUUCCACCUGGGGAGUACGCCGGCAACGGUGAAACUCAAAGGAAUUGACGGGG
rnacentral:rRNA from 1 species